GGAAUCCUUUUGCUCUUGCGGGCUCAAUGGUUGCAAUGUCAUUUGCGCAUAAACUUCAUCGGUCUCCACAUCUGCAUGCAUUGUCACAUUAUGAAGCUGACAAAUUAGUUGAGGAGGUAAGCUUGGAUAAUUCGGUAUGUGGGCAUCAAUUUCCUUGUUUGUUGAUGCAGCCACCUGCUCACUAUGACCCUGUGGAAAGUAAACCACACGACUUCCAACAGCCGGCAACGAGACCAGUGGUCCAGCGCAUGCAUGCC
rnacentral:misc_RNA from 1 species